UAAGGUCCCCUUUAGUAAACAUUAAAAUUAUAACAUAUACUGCAUGUCUCUUUAUUUUCCCUUUCUACAAGCUAUUUCGUUUACGUAACUGGGUUUUCUCUCUACUGCGUCCACCGUCUACUGCGAUUACUCUCGUCCUCCGUUCGUUCUCCCUCCCUCACCGUCGUCGUCGCCGUCGCCUUUUUCUGCUGCUGCGUUCACGUUCACGUCCACCGUCACUGUUCACUUUCUUCUCCAUCGUUACCGUCACCUUGAAGAUAAAAUGGCUAACCAAGACGAUACCCAUGCCGCGAAUGAAUCACGUAAUAAUGUUGAAAAAGAAAUCAAACGAGGAUUGACUGUUAUGAAGUCAAUCAUUCGUGCAAGAGACAAGGGUGUAAAAUUUGAAGUGCAUUGGAGUGCUGAAGACCAACUAAUUGAGCCUAACGGUUCAAUGUUGGCAAGUUACAUUGGUUUCCUUGUUCGACAACAUAUUCCGAUUACAUGUGAUAAUUGGAGAAGUCCGGACUUGAAGGUUGGCAAGGAAAAAAUAUGGUCGGAGAUACAGAGAUCCUUUCACAUCGAUGAAAGCCGGCAAAAAUAUUGUAUUCAAUUGGCCGGAAAAAGACUCCGAGGAUUUCGAUCCUUUUUGUGCAACAAAUUUCUCAAGGAUGAGGAAG